UGACAGUACUCCUACGGGGAGGCAGCAGUGGGGGGAAUAUUGCACAAUGGGCGCAAGCCUGAUGCAGCCAUGCCGCGUGUGUGAAGAAGGACCUUCGGGUUGUUAAAGCACUUUCAGUCGUGAGGAAGGUAGUGUAGUUAAUAGCUGCAUUAUUUGACGUUAGCGACAGAAGAAGCACCGGCUAACUCCGUGCCAGCAGCCGCGGUAAUACGGAGGGUGCGAGCGUUAAUCGGAAUUACUGGGCGUAAAGCGCAUGCAGGUGGUUUGUUAAGUCAGAUGUGAAAGCCCGGGGCGUCAACCUCGGAAUAGCAUUUGAAACUGGCAGACUAGAGUACUGUAGAGGGGGGUAGGAAUUUCAGGUGUAGCGGUGAAAUGCGUAGAGAUCUGAAGGAAUACCGGUGGCGAAGGCGGCCCCCUCGGACAGAUACUGACACUCAGAUGCGAAAGCGUGGGGAGCAAACAGGAUUAGAUACCCUGGUAG
rnacentral:rRNA from 1 species